rnacentral:misc_RNA from 1 species
GAGAAAAUCGCGUUUUGAGAUUUUAAUAGAAGGCACGAAAAUGGUAGCCGAGCGAAAGAUCUGGGACGCUAAGGAGGUCGCACAGGAAGCUAGAGACUGUUGCAGCUCUGACAUUCAUUCUUCGCAACUCACCGUUGACAGCUCUCUUUCUCUAUCUGAUAUGUCUCCUUGUCUCAUAGAGUUAUGCAAGGAUCUGUUCAAGAAAUGGUCAAGAUUGGAAGAUUCUCGCUUCACAAUUGAGACGGUUUCCGGUGGUAUAACAAAUUUAUUGCUUAAGGUAUCUGUGAAGGAAGAAAAAGGAAAUGAGGUAUCUGUAACUGUCAGAUUAUAUAGUCCUAACACCGAUUAUUUUAUCAAUCGUGAGAGGGAGUUGCAGGUGAUUUCGUAAAGCGGCCUAGAUUCAUUUACUUUCUCAUGAUGAAUUAGAAUGUUUUGGGUUUCUAUGUUUGUUAACCAUUUGGUUGAACAAGAAAUCAAGAAUGAUUUUCUGCGUUGAAAUUUAAUGAAUUUCACGAAAAUAUUAAUUCUUGUAAUCUACUACAUAGUUAUUAUUGGAAUUUCAUUUCUAUAAUUGUGUCUGACCGGUCAAGCAGCUGAAUGAAUACAGGUGUCUAAUCAAUUUCUGAAGGAUUCUGUAGCUCUCCUAGAUCAUGAUAUAAAUCUCUUCCUUAAAGAAAUUAAGUGGCUGGCUUUCAGUCUUCCUUAGAACAAUUUUACAUGGUCAAAGAAACCAACAUGUUUUAGUUACUAAUAUCAUAUCCCCACACAAAAGUAUAUGCAGUAAUAUUGUGGGGUAACUGGAAAAUGGAUAGAAAUUUUGUAAUACAAAGAACUUUAAACUAUGCUAUUCCUAAGUUCGUCAUCAUUGUUCAUUACAGCAACUUCUUUUGAAGCAUUAAAAUUAUUUCCAUCUGGAGCAAGCUACAAUUAAUUCAUUUGAUUUAUCCUACUUUUUACUACACUAUUUGUUAUGUUAUAGUUGCUUAACACAUAUUGUUUUCAGGCUAUCAAAUACCUAUCAGCAGCUGGAUUUGGUGCUAAGUUGCUUGGUGUAUUUGGAAAUGGCAUGGUGCAAUCUUUUAUCAAUGCACGGACACUAACUCCAGCAGAUAUGAGAAAGCCAAAGCUGGCCGCUGAAAUUGCCAAGCAACUUCGUAAAUUCCAUGGAGUGGAAAUUCCAGGUUCUAAAGAGCCUCAGUUGUGGAAUGACAUCUUCAAGUUCUAUGAAAAUGCAUCCAUUCUUCAAUUCGGUGAUAUUCAGAAGCAAAGAAAAUAUGAGACAAUUUCAUUCGAGGAAGUUUAUAACGAAGUAGUUGAAAUCAAGGUAAUAUUGUUCCCCCGUUAUUUUGUCUUGCUUGUAAUUUGAGUCUUGUGGUUCUCCUUUGAAGGUUUGAGGUUCAAGAGAGGCCUUUUUACCUCUAUCUGUCAGUAAACCACUUGUAGGUUUGGUUAUCAGAUUCACCUAUUUUGCUUGUCAUCACAAGGCUGUUGCCUUUUGAGCAGUUAAAAUUUUCCUUAGUGCCAAUGAUUUUCAUUUGCUGGAAAAUUAAGCAUACCACAGAUUCAGUGCACUAUAGCACACUGUAAACUAGUAUGCUCUUGAUGACUGAUGAAGUUAUUCUGCUUGAUAAUUUCCUUGAUUGACUUGCUUAUGAUUUGAAACCAGAACAUCUAACAAACAUCCAGUUGAAAUGUUUCCUAAAUUUUAGGCACAUUAAUUUGUCAUUUUCAGAUAUUUAGACAAACUUCUUAAUGAUAUUUAUUUUAUUGAUGGAACCUGACAAAAUACUGGAUGCCAUCGAAUGUGAGGCAGAAGGCAUGAUGUUUGUCCAAGCUCACAAUUUGUAAUUUAUGCCUCUUAGUCCUUACGCCUUUGCCUUUUCUUACUCUCUUUUUUUCUGAGGUGGCAAUGGUUAUUAAUUUGAGUAAUAUCUUGUUGGCAUUCAUAAAUUUGAGUCUCUGGUGGUGGAUGAAGGUUUUAACAUUUAUUUACUAUGGGAAAUUCUUCUCAGAUUUCCAUUAUUGUGUACUGAUUUUUUGGUUGAAUAUCUGUUAGGUUUGAAGAGCUUCAUUUCUAUUCAUGUUGGUAAUUAUUCUGAUAAUUGAACAGGAAUUGACAGGCUGUCUUAAUGCUCCCGUGGUUUUUUCUCACAAUGACUUGCUUUCAGGGAAUCUGAUGCUUAAUGAAGAUGAAGAUAAACUCUACUUCAUUGAUUUUGAGUACGGAUCAUACAGUUACAGAGGUUUUGACAUUGGAAAUCACUUCAAUGAAUAUGCGGGUUAUGAUUGUGACUACAGCUUAUACCCAAGUAAGGAAGAACAAUAUCAUUUCUUCAGGCAUUAUUUACAACCUGAAAAACCGCAUGAGGUUUCUGACAAGGACCUUGAAGCUCUAUAUAUAGAGACGAAUACUUUCGCAUUAGCUUCACACUUAUUCUGGGCUUUAUGGGCACUAAUCCAGGCAAAGAUGUCCCCAAUUGAUUUUGAUUAUCUUGACUAUUUCUUCCUGCGAUACAAUGAAUACAAAAGGCAGAAGGAAAAUAGUUGUUCACUGGCACGUUCUUACCUCUCAAGAUGUGGGAGUGGAUAGUUUUCUGGUCAUUUUCAGUUUUUUCACACAUUGGUAGCUCUGUAUUCUACAAAUUUGUAGGGAAGGCUUCUUUGAGUCCCAGUUAGACAUCAUAUUCUUGUAUAAUAUUCUUUUGUAGCUGUCUAGUUAAAAGAAAAUUGAAAAUGACAUAUAUUGAAUUAGUAAUCGCAGUGUCAAGUAUUUUAAUUCUUAGUUCUCAACAGGGAUUUGUAUCCAAUAGGGCUAACGAAACUGUCCUAAUUUUUUGGGUGCCUGAGUAUAGCUCACGGGACGGGGAUCUCAGACUAAACAGUGGAAAGCCAAUAAAAAACUAUUUCACAAGGUGGUGGUGUUGUGUUUCUU